rnacentral:rRNA from 1 species
AAAGCUCCGGCGGUUAGAGAUGGGCAUGCGUGCCAUUAGCUAGUUGGUGAGGUAACAGCUCACCAAGGCUACGAUGGCUAGGGGGUCUGAGAGGAUGAUCCCCCACACUGGUACUGAGACACGGACCAGACUCCUACGGGAGGCGGCAGUGAGGAAUAUUGGGCAAUGGACGCAAGUCUGACCCAGCCAUGCCGCGUAAAGGAUGAAUGUCCUAUGGAUUGUAAACUUCUUUUAUGCAGGAAAAAUAUCCCGGUCGUGAACCGGGACUGAUGGUACUGUAUGAAUAAGCAUCGGCUAACUCCGUGCCAGCAGCCGCGGUAAUACGGAGGAUGCAAGCGUUAUCCGGAUUCAUUGGGUUUAAGGGGUGCGCAGGCGGAAUGAUAAGUCAGUGGUGAAAUCUCUCGGCUCAACCGGGAAACUGCCAUUGAUACUGCCAUUCUUGAGUACAGUUGAAGUGGGCAGAAUGUGUCAUGUAGCGGUGAAAUGCUUAGAUAUGACACAGAACACCGAUAGCGAAGGCAGCUCACUAAGCUGUAACUGACGCUCAUGCACGAAAGCGUGGGGAUCAAACAGGAUUAGAUACCCUGGUAGUCCACGCUGUAAACGAUGAUCACUCGUUGUUAGCGAUAUACUGUUAGCGACUGAGCGAAAGCAUUAAGUGAUCCACCUGGGGAGUACCGGCGGCAACG